rnacentral:rRNA from 1 species
GCGUAAAGCGUGCGCAGGCGGAUUGUUGAGCAAGAUGUGAAAUCCCCGGGCUUAACCUGGGAAUGGCAUUUUGAACUGGCAGUCUAGAGUGCGUCAGAGGGGGGUGGAAUUCCACGUGUAGCAGUGAAAUGCGUAGAGAUGUGGAGGAACACCAAUGGCGAAGGCAGCCCCCUGGGAUGACACUGACGCUCAUGUACGAAAGCGUGGGUAGCAAACAGGAUUAGAUACCCUGGUAGUCCACGCCCUAAACGAUGUCAACUGGUUGUUGGGGGAGUGAAAUCCCUUAGUAACGAAGCUAACGCGUGAAGUUGACCGCCUGGGGGGUACGGUCGCAAGACUGAAACUCAAAGGAAUUGACGGGGGCCCGCACAAGCGGUGGAGUAUGUGGUUUAAUUCGAUGCAACGCGAAGAACCUUACCUGGCCUUGACAUGUCUGGAAUCCUGCAGAGAUGCGGGAGUGCCUUCGGGAAUCAGAACACAGGUGCUGCAUGGCUGUCGUCAGCUCGUGUCGUGAGAUGUUGGGUUAAGUCCCGCAACGAGCGCAACCCUUGUCCUUAGUUGCCAGCACGUAAUGGUGGGAACUCUAAGGAGACUGCCGGUGACAAACCGGAGGAAGGUGGGGAUGACGUCAAGUCCUCAUGGCCCUUACGGCCAGGGCUACACACGUACUACAAUGGUCGGUACAGAGGGUUGCAAUACCGCGAGGUGGAGCCAAUCCCAGAAAGCCGAUCCCAGUCCGGAUCGGAGUCUGCAACUCGACUCCGUGAAGUCGGAAUCGCUAGUAA